AGAGCGAACGCUGGCGGCAGGCCUAACACAUGCAAGUCGAGCGCCCGUAGCAAUACGGGAGCGGCAGACGGGAUAGUAACACGUGGGAACGCGCCCUUCGGUUCGGAAUAACUCAGGGAAACUUGAGCUAAUACCGGAUACGCCCUUACGGGGAAAGAUUUAUUGCCGAAGGAACGGCCCGCGUCCGAUUAGCUAGUUGGUGAGGUAAUGGCUCACCAAGGCGACGAUCGGUAGCUGGUCUGAGAGGAUGACCAGCAUCACUGGGACUGAGACACGGCCCAGACUCCUACGGGAGGCAGCAGUGGGGAAUAUUGGACAAUGGGCGCAAGCCUGAUCCAGCCAUGCCGCGUGGAUGAUGAAGGCCUUAGGGUGUAAAGUCCUUUUAACGGGGAAGAUAAUGACGGUACCCGUAGAAUAAGCCCCGGCUAACUUCGUGCCAGCAGCCGC
rnacentral:rRNA from 1 species